GCAAAAACAACAUUUCUUUCAUUCCAUCAUAGAUAUUGAUAAUACUUUACCAGUGUAAGAUGGUUUUAACAUGUAAAAUUUCAUAAAAUGCUUUCGUAGAAACUAAUAUCGAGCUGUACAAAGCAAAAACAGUAAUCACUAAACAUCAGCUCAAUGGUCCUUAAAUUAAGGACCAAGACUGAUUAUUACCCAUUAUCACACACUGAUAGGUUUUAUUGAAGUGAUGACUAAAUCUGAAAUAUUUCAUGGCUAUAAUAGUUACAUAGUUGUAUAGCAAACCAAAGAUCCUUCAUCCUUCCUCACCGAACUCCUUCGUGAAUCUCUCAUGCACCUCAAGAUCUGCUUUGCUUACUGUUGGCUUCUGUUUCCAUAGAACUCUGUCAAAAUCCCUUAUGCUGAUUGGUGGUGGUGUAAUCUUUGAAGCUAGGCCUUUUGCUGCAAGCUCCUGCAUAUUAGUCUGAAUGGCACCUGGUUGUCUAGGUCCACAAGGCACCCACAACCCAUCACUAGUCUUAAUAAAAAACUCAGCAUCUUGAGUUUUACGUACUGGUUCAAACAACACUUCAUUUACACACACAGAAAUGUCUGAACCUGAAAAACCUUCUGUUUUCCGAGCUAGUUGCUCAAAAUCACUUUCUGUCAAGUUGUGAGGGGUAUCUCCUAAAUGUACCUUGAACAUGUGUUGCCUUGCCUUCAAAUCUGGUAGGGGAAUGUAUAUUCUUUUGUCAAAUCUCCGUCUAAUAGCCUGGUCUAAUGAGUAGGGAGUGUUUGUUGCUGCAAGAACCAGAACUUUUUUGUCAUCAUCAUGCCCUACACCCUGCAUCUGUACAAGAAGCUCAGUUUUGAUACGUCUCGAUGCUUCACUUUCACUACCCUCACCUCUUUGGCCACAUAGGGAGUCAAUUUCGUCUAUAAAUACUAUUGAAGGAGAACUUUCUCGGGCCAUUUGGAAUAGAUUUGACACAAGUUUUUCACUUUCACCCAUCCACUUUGAAACAAGGUCUGAUGAAGAAACACUGAAAAAGGUUGAAUCUGCUUCUGUAGCAACAGCUUUUGCUAGGUAUGACUUUCCUGUUCCAGGUGGACCAUAUAACAGAAAGGCUCUCCAUGGUCGACGCUUGCCAGUAAAAAACUGAGGAAACUUAACCGGCAGGAUAACAGCCUCUUGCAAUGCCUGCUUGGCACUCUCAAGCCCUGCUACAUCAUUCCACUUCACAUUAGGUUUUUCCCUUACAAUAGCGGAAUUAAGCCCAGCUCUUAACUUUACAUUCUCUGAAUCAUCACCCUCUCCUCCUCCUCCUCCUCCAUUCUUUGGCUUUGACUUUGCGCGCGACGCAACAGCAGCAUCUCCAUUGGACGUCGGCCCACCACCUCCCUCAUCUAGAACAGAACGAAUCUCUUCAGCCCUCCUCAAAUACUCCACAAACUUCUGGGUAAUUGCUUCCUUAAUCUUGGGAUUCUUCUCAUAUUUCAGAUGAGUUUUAAAAUACUCCAAAGCAUUCAUAUAUAGAGAGAAAGCCUUUGCAUAAUUUCCAGCAUUAUCUUCCUCAACUGCUUGCUUCACAUAAGCUACUGCCUGCUCCUUGAAAUUACUAUACAUCUUAUAAUCACAAACCACAUGCAAAAUUCAAAGUCUUGAAACUUUUAACAAGCAAACUGAACCCACGUUCAACAAACUAUACCUCGAUCCUCCUCAAGUCUUACUUUUCUUACGAUUUCCUGUAAAUCAGCAAAAAUCAAAGCUCUAACGAAAAUCAAAAAAAAAUUCCGGGAAAUUCAACUUUUUCAACGAACGCGUUACAGAAUAUGCAAAAUUUUGGAAAAUUUGGAGAAGGAAUUUUAGUUAAAAAUUUGAGAUUUGAUUAGUUUGGAGUUGGAAUUUGGUGGUGGCAACUUCCAAAUCACAAAUUCCAGAAAAAUCAGACUGGCAAUUCCUCCUCCUUUCCCUUUUUCUUUUUU
rnacentral:misc_RNA from 1 species